UAAGACUUACACUCUCAUUCUGUCAGAGCCCAGUCACCCAAGUUUUAGAGAGUUCACACUCGAAGUUUUAGAGAGUUGGUGACUGGGCUCUGACAGAAUGAUUUUAAAGAGUUGGUGACUGGGCUCUGACAGAAUGAGAGUGUAAGUUU
rnacentral:pre_miRNA from 1 species